rnacentral:miRNA from 1 species
ACAUAUACGUGAAUUCAUUCACGUAUAAGUGAAUUGGAUUCACAGAUAUGUAACUGAAAUCUGAUCCGAAUCCAAUUCACAUAUACGUGAAUGAAGUUCACAUAUAAGU